UACGUAGGGCGCAAGCGUUGUCCGGAGUUAUUGGGCGUAAAGAGCUCGUAGGCGGUUUGUCGCGUCUGCUGUGAAAUCCCGAGGCUCAACCUCGGGCCUGCAGUGGGUACGGGCAGACUGGAGUGCGGUAGGGGAGAAUGGAAUUCCUGGUGUAGCGGUGGAAUGCGCAGAUAUCAGGAGGAACACCGAUGGCGAAGGCAGUUCUCUGGGCCGUAACUGACGCUGAGGAGCGAAAGCGUGGGGAGCGAACAGG
rnacentral:rRNA from 1 species